GGACCUUUAGCUCAGUUGGUUAGAGCAGAUGGCUCAUAACCGUCCGGUCGUUGCUUCGAGUCCAACAAGGUCGA
rnacentral:tRNA from 1 species